AACGAACGCUGGCGGCAUGCCUAGCACAUGCAAGUCGAACGAGACCUUCGGGUCUAGUGGCGCACGGGUGCGUAACGCGUGGGAACCUGCCCUUAGGUUCGGAAUAACUCCCCGAAAGGGGUGCUAAUACCGGAUAAUGUCUUCGGACCAAAGAUUUAUCGCCUUUGGAUGGGCCCGCGUUGGAUUAGCUAGUUGGUAGGGUAAAAGCCUACCAAGGCGACGAUCCAUAGCUGGUCUGAGAGGAUGAUCAGCCACACUGGGACUGAGACACGGCCCAGACUCCUACGGGAGGCAGCAGUGGGGAAUAUUGGACAAUGGGCGAAAGCCUGAUCCAGCAAUGCCGCGUGAGUGAUGAAGGCCUUAGGGUUGUAAAGCUCUUUUCCCCGGGAUGAUAAUGACAGUCCGGGAGAAUAAGCUCCGGCUAACUCCGUG
rnacentral:rRNA from 1 species